UACAGAGGGCGCGAGCGUUGUCCGGAAUCACUGGGCGUAAAGGGCGCGUAGGUGGCCACCAUAAGGCCGCGGUGAAAGUUCGGGGGCUCAACCCCCGGAUCGGCCGCGGCGACUGUGGGGGCUUGGGUACUGUAGAGGCAGAUGGAAUUCCGGGUGUAGCGGUGGAAUGCGUAGAUAUCGUAAGGAAAGACCAGUGGCGAAGGCGGGGUCUCUGGACAGUUUCCUGACGUGAGGCACGAAGGUCAGGGGGAGCAAAACGGGG
rnacentral:rRNA from 1 species